rnacentral:rRNA from 1 species
GGACUACCGGGGUUUCUAAUCCUGUUUGCUCCCCAUGCUUUCGCGCCUCAGCGUCAGUGUCAGCCCAGAAAACCGUCUUCACCACCGGUGUUCUUCCACAUAUCUACGCAUUUCACCGCUACACGUGGAAUUCCGUUUUCCCUAACUGAACUCUAGUAACAUAGUUUCGUAUGCUGCUCCGGGGUUGAGCCCCGGAAUUUCACAUCCGACUUAUCCUACCGCCUACGCGCCCUUUACGCCCAGUAAUUCCGAUCAAUGCUUGCACCCUCCGUAUUACCGCGGCUGCUGGCAC